rnacentral:rRNA from 1 species
ACGGAAGGCAGCAGUGGGGAAUAUUGCACAAUGGGGGAAACCCUGAUGCAGCGACGCCGCGUGAAGGAAGAAGUAUCUCGGUAUGUAAACUUCUAUCAGCAGGGAAGAAAGUGACGGUACCUGACUAAGAAGCCCCGGCUAACUACGUGCCAGCAGCCGCGGUAAUACGCAGGGGGCAAGCGUUAUCCGGAUUUACUGGGUGUAAAGGGAGCGUAGACGGCAAGACAAGUCUGAAGUGAAAGGCAUGGGCUCAACCUGUGGACUGCUUUGGAAACUGCCUUGCUUGAGUGCCGGAGGGGUAAGCGGAAUUCCUAGUGUAGCGGUGAAAUGCGUAGAUAUUAGGAGGAACACCAGUGGCGAAGGCGGCUUACUGGACGGUAACUGACGUUGAGGCUCGAAAGCGUGGGGAGCAAACAGGAUUAGAUACCCUGGUA